CUCGGCAGCCCCGGCCCCCGGCCCGCGGGGGACGGGGGGGACGGGGGCCCCGCGCACCCCGCACCGCCCGACAGCUGAACCGGGCGAUGUAAACUGCAAGCGGAAUCGUAUAAACGAACGCAUAAUUGUUAAUUGUUACGAACAGAAUACUCAGUGCGUUGUGCGGUAAAUAUCGAGGGACUCCUUUAUUUGGUGCAAAUUUCCUAUUAGCCGAUUUGAUUCAGUUUCCAGAAACCGCUAUAUUCUAUAAUAGCUUUAACUAUUUUGACGUUGGAACAUACAUUUGCCUAGGACAAUAUCGUAGACCAAUGAUAUUGUCCAAUGUUGGUGCCGGUCUCAAUGUAACAGAGACGAACCAAAACAUUGGAUGAAUUACACAUUGUAAUAAUAACGUGUGAUAAAGAUUAAGAUUCCUUUAGUACUUUACAGCAGCUGUCUCUAAGCGAAGUGUAUUUGCUUAUGUCUGAAGUUAUUUGGGUGAUAGAAUGUUGUAGAUAUUGUAACAAUUUGGUUUGUCGGUGAAUUGUAGAUGGAAUUACUAAUGUUAUGUUAUGAUACAUAACGCCUAAAUUGGUACAAUAAAAUGAAAUUAAAUACUUCCUGAUUUC